rnacentral:misc_RNA from 1 species
CUCGAGUGUAGUUGAUUGAUUGUAAUCUGCAGAUGGAAAAUGGCAGCCAUGGCCAUGACACGCUUGCAAUUCCUCCACCCAUCUCCCAUCAUCAAACCUUCUCUAUUUCUAUCAAACCUCCCUCGCUCUCCCAUUUAUGGCCUCCGCCGCCGCAAACACUCCACCUCCACCACCUCCCCUCUCUGUUCUACGUCAAAUCACACCCAAACCCCAGAGAGUUGUGAUGCUUCGAUAGUUGGGGAUCUGCUGGACUAUCUCAACGAGUCUUGGACUCAGUUUCACGCUACUGCGGAAGCAAAAAGGCAACUUCUUGCUGCUGGUUUUCAUUUGCUUAAUGAAAAUGAUGAAUGGGACCUAAAGCCUGGUGGACGCUACUUCUUUACAAGAAACAUGUCUUGCUUGGUUGCUUUUUCUGUUGGGCAGAAGUACACUGUUGGAAAUGGUUUUCAUGUGAUAGCUGCACACACAGACAGUCCAUGCUUGAAGCUCAAACCAAAAUCUGCGUCCUCCAAAUCUAAUUAUCUAAUGGUCAAUGUGCAGACAUAUGGAGGUGGUUUAUGGCACACAUGGUUUGAUAGAGACUUGAGUGUUGCAGGAAGGGUAAUAGUGAGGGGUACUGAUGGUUCUUUUCUGCACAAGCUUGUCAAAGUAAAGAAGCCUUUAUUACGAAUACCAACGCUGGCCAUUCAUCUUGACCGCACAGUAAAUAAGGAUGGAUUUAAACCAAAUCUAGAGACACAUCUCAUUCCAUUAUUUGCAACAAAACCUGAGGAAACAUCUACGGAGUCAAAAGAUAAAAAUACAGAAUCUUCAAAAGCUGUCCAUCAUCCACUGCUUAUGCAGGUUUUAUCAGACGAGCUGAGUUGCAGUACUGAUGAUGUAGUGAGCAUUGAGCUAAAUCUUUGUGAUACCCAACCUAGCUGCCUUGGAGGUGGAAACAAUGAGUUUAUUUUUUCUGGAAGGUUGGAUAAUCUUGCUUCAAGUUUUUGUGCAUUACGAGCUCUUAUUGAUUCAUGCAAAUCUUCCAAUGAUUUAUCAAGUGAACCUGCUAUUCGGAUGGCUGCCUUAUUUGAUAAUGAAGAGGUAGGUUCAGGUUCAGUCCAGGGAGCUGGUGCACCAACCAUGUUUCAGGCCAUGAGACGAAUAGUUGGAUGCUUAGCUCAUAAUGAAGUUAGUGAAGGUGCUAUUGAGCGUGCAAUUCGGAAAUCUUUUCUUGUGUCUGCGGACAUGGCUCAUGGAGUUCAUCCAAAUUUUAUGGAAAAGCAUGAAGAACACCAUCGACCAGAAAUGCGAAAGGGACUUGUUAUCAAGCACAACGCAAACCUGAGAUAUGCUACUAAUGGAAUCACAGCUUUUCUCUUUAAAGAAGUUGGCAAAAUCCUCAACCUUCCAACUCAGGAAUUUGUAGUGAGAAACGAUAUGGGAUGUGGGUCCACCAUAGGUCCUAUACUUGCUUCAGGCGUAGGCAUCCGCACUGUUGAUUGUGGCAUUGCUCAGCUUUCCAUGCACAGUGUGAGGGAGGUGUGUGCAAAGGAGGAUAUAGACAUUGCUUACAGGCAUUUUAAGGCAUUCUACCAAAACUUUUCAACCAUAGACAAGAAGCUACAAGUGGAUUAAGGCCACCCAAUAUUACUAUUUUCUUUGGUGUGUUUUAUGGGGAUAAUUUUAUUUUAUUUGUUGUGGGGGGAGGGAGAAAGAGAGGGAGAGAGCAGAAGAUAUCUUGCAUUGCAUCAUCAAACUUUUUUAUUAUUGGUAAGCACAUUGUUGCCUCCAAAAAUAAAGAUGACUAAGAGCUUCAGCAGAUAACUAUAGGUAAAGACUAAUUUGUAGAAAAGGAAGCUGACAAUAAUUUCUAUCUCCAUGCUUUGCACUUUAGGAGGAGCAAUUCAUUGAGCUAAGUGUGCCCAUAAAAUCAGUUUUUGUUCAAAUUCGUAGGAUUUGUGGUGGAAGUAGAACUGAGAUUGAGGUCAGGAUUAGCGUUUGGAUUGGAGUUUCCCUUGGAGAGCUUCUGCUUCUGCUUCAGCUCAGACAACAGAGCCUGAUUCUCCUUGUUUAGUUGUUGAGCUUUCUUCCUAAGCAUCUCAUUUUGUCUGAUGAUAUAACAGUUCUGCAAAUAUAGCUCUGAGUUCAUCUUCUCCAUGUUGAAUUGCUAUUAUCUUCCCUGAAAGUACAGCAAAACACAGACAAAAAAUAUCAGAUAAUAGAUUUAUGUCAUACAUAGAAAACCGCAUUUACACUCCUUUAAAGAUAGAUAUAAAUGUUCUUGCAUGCUUG